rnacentral:lncRNA from 10 species
CCACACCCAGGCUGUGGAGGCGCAGGAGUGCUGAACGCCACGCAGUCCCCGGCUUGGCCAGCCUCGGACCAGUGAGGUCUCCAAGCAAAAACCUAGAGCUUUGGCGAAACUACUUGUUGUUAAAAAAGCCUUCCUGGCCGGGCACGGUGGCUCACACCUGUAAUCCCAGCACUUUGGGAAGCUGAGGCGAGCGGAUCACCUGAGGUCGGGAGUCCGAGGCCAGCCUGACCAACGUGGAGAAAACCUGUCUCUCCUAGGAAAUACAAAAUUAGCUGGGCGUGGUGGCACAUGCCUGUAAUCCCAGCUACCCGAGAGGCUAAGGCAGGAGAAUGGCUUGAACCCAGGAAGUGGAGGUUGCGGAGAGCUGAGAUUGCGCCACUGCACUCCAGCCUGGGCCACAGGAGCAAAACUCCGUCUGAAAAAAAAAAAAAAAAAAAAAAAACCUUCUCAGCAGCUAACCAAGGAAAUGGCACGGACUUUGCUCUUUGGGCUUCAGGUGGGGCUUUUCCCCACGCUGCGGGCCACGAUGGAACAUUGCUGAUGUGUUGUUCAGACCUGGCACCAGGGCAGACCCAGUGGAGAUAGGGACCCCAUCUUUGCAGACCGCGGCUGUGAGAUUCAUGCGGGCUGAUGUCACCCCUUCUCAGAAGGGCCCAGAACUGACAAUGGGAGCUGCUACCCUGAGCCCAUUUCUCACCAGUGAGGAGUGAAGUGGAUAGGAUGGAACACCUGGGAGAAAUCUAGCGUCUGAUUUGAGAGGUCCUGGGAGUCGGCAAGAAGGGCGUGCUUGGCUUGAGGAAGGAUCACGAAAGCAGAAAGGAUUCCGUGAGAGGGAAGACACACAAAAGCUGUGCAGAAGACAGUGGUGAUGGCUGCACAGCAAUGGAAACGCACAUCACGACAUGGAAUUGGACGCUUAGAGAUGGUUAAAAUGGUAAAUUUUACAUUAUGUAUAUUUCACGACAAUGAAACAAAAAGGCUAUACUGGGUCGUAUUGGAAUCUAAGGCAAAAGGAAAAACUAGUAAUACCAAUCCUGUCUGUAGUUAAAGUCUUGAUAUUUUAUUCAAGGAUUUUUUGCAUAAAUUUAGAUUUUU